ensembl:misc_RNA Metazoa_SRP Metazoan signal recognition particle RNA
GCCAUUGGCAGUGGUGCGUGCCUGUAGUACCAGCUACUCGGGAGGCUGAGGUGGGAAGAUACCUUGAGUCCAGGAGUUCUGGGCUGUAGUGCGCUAUGCCAAUCUAGUGUCUGGACUAAGUUCGGCAUCAAUAUGGUGACCUCCCAGGAGCGUGGGACCACCAGGUUGCCUAAGGAGGGGUGAACCGGCCCAGGUCGAAAACGGAGCAGGUCAAAACUCCCGUGCUGAUCAGUAGUGGGAUCGCACCUGUGAAUAGCCAUGGCACUCUAGCCCAGGCAAUGUAAUGAGACCCAGCUCUA